GGUGAGUUGUCCGAGAGGCUGAAGGAGUGCGCCUGGAAAGCGCAUAUAUAGUUUAUAGCUGUAUCGAGGGUUCGACCCCCUCACUCACCGCCA
rnacentral:tRNA from 1 species